rnacentral:rRNA from 1 species
GAUGAACGCUGGCGGCGUGCCUAACACAUGCAAGUCGAACGCUCGCAAGAGAGUGGCGCACGGGUGAGUAACACGUAGCUAAUCUGCCCUCAAGACAAGGAUAACUGUAGGAAACUACUGCUAAUACUUGAUAAGCUUACGGACUGUAGAGGUCUAUAAGAAAAGAUUUAUCGCUUGAGGAUGAGGCUGCGCGCCAUCAGCUAGUUGGUAAGGUAAUGGCUUACCAAGGCGACGACGGCUAGGGGACCUGAGAGGGUGACCCCCCACACUGGGACUGAGACACGGCCCAGACUCCUACGGGAGGCAGCAGUGGGGAAUAUUGCGCAAUGGGCGAAAGCCUGACGCAGCGACGCCGCGUGGGUGAUGAAGGCCU